rnacentral:snoRNA from 1 species
AAGUCCCAUGAUGAAGACACUUACGAAGCAACUCCUUGAAUCGCUCCCAAGCCUCAUGCAAAGACACAUCAUCCAGUUGUUGGAAAGUUGUGAUCUCAUUCCUCAACUU